GAUGAACGCUGGCGGCGUGCCUAAUACAUGCAAGUCGAGCGAACAGACGAGGAGAUUUCUCCUCUAACGUUAGCGGCUGACGGGUGAGUAACACGUGGAUAACCUACCUAUUAGACUGGGAGAACUUCGGGAGACCGGAGCUGAUACCGGAUAAUAUAUUGAACGGCAUGGUUCAAUAGUGAAAGACGGUUUUGCUGUCACUUAUAGAUGGAUCCGCACCGCAUUAGCUAGUUGGUAAGGUAACGGCUUACCAAGGCGACGAUGCGUAGCCGACCUGAGAGGGUGAUCGGCCACACUGGAACUGAGACACGGUCCAGACUCCUACGGGAGGCAGCAGUAGGGAAUCUUCCGCAAUGGGCGCAAGCCUGACGGAGCAACGCCGCGUGAGUGAUGAAGGUCUUCGGAUCGUAAAACUCUGUUAUUAGGGAAGAACAAAUGUGUAAGUAACUAUGCACGUCUUGACGGUACCUAAUCAGAAAGCCACGGCUAACUACGUG
rnacentral:rRNA from 1 species